AUCUAAAUAGUUUAAGAGUAAAAUAUUGGUUUGUGGUGCCAGUGAUAUAAUUUUUAUUUUAGAUU
rnacentral:tRNA from 1 species